rnacentral:siRNA from 1 species
UAAACUGAAGGCUGUGACCAAUGG